AUUGAACGCUGGCGGAAUGCUUUACACAUGCAAGUCGAGCGGCAGCGCGGGGGCAACCCUGGCGGCGAGCGGCGAACGGGUGAGUAAUGUAUCGGAACGUACCCAGUCGUGGGGGAUAACUAUCCGAAAGGAUAGCUAAUACCGCAUACGACCUGAGGGUGAAAGCGGGGGACCGUAAGGCCUCGCGCGAUUGGAGCGGCCGAUAUCGGAUUAGCUAGUUGGUGAGGUAAAGGCUCACCAAGGCGACGAUCCGUAGCUGGUCUGAGAGGACGACCAGCCACACUGGAACUGAGACACGGUCCAGACUCCUACGGGAGGCAGCAGUGGGGAAUUUUGGACAAUGGGGGCAACCCUGAUCCAGCCAUUCCGCGUGAGUGAAGAAGGCC
rnacentral:rRNA from 1 species